UACGUAGGAGGCAAGCGUUGUCCGGAGUUACUGGGCGUAAAGCGCACGCAGGCGGUCUUGUCAGUCUGUAGGGACAGGGCACAGCUCAACUGUGUCAGGCUUAUGGAAACUGCAAGACUUGAGGGCUUCAGAGGGAUGGGGAAUUCCGGGUGGAGUGGUGAAAUGCGUAGAUAUCGGGAGGAACACCAGUGGCGAAGGCGACUUCCUGGCCUGUUCUUGACGCUGAGGCGCGAAAGCUAGGGUAGCAAACGGG
rnacentral:rRNA from 1 species